rnacentral:rRNA from 1 species
AUACGUAGGGGGCGAGCGUUGUCCGGAAUUACUGGGCGUAAAGAGCUCGUAGGUGGUUUGUCGCGUCGUCUGUGAAAUUCCGGGGCUUAACUCCGGGCGUGCAGGCGAUACGGGCAUAACUUGAGUACUGUAGGGGAGACUGGAAUUCCUGGUGUAGCGGUGAAAUGCGCAGAUAUCAGGAGGAACACCGGUGGCGAAGGGGGGUCUCUGGGCAGUAACUGACGCUGAGGAGCGAAAGCAUGGGUAGCGAACAGGAUUAGAUACCCUGGUAGUCCAUGCCGUAAACGGUGGGCGCUAGGUGUAGGGGUCUUCCACGACUUCUGUGCCGUAGCUAACGCAUUAAGCGCCCCGCCUGGGGAGUACGGCCGCAAGGCUAAAACUCAAAGGAAUUGACGGGG